GACGAACGCUGGCGGCGUGCUUAACACAUGCCAGUCGAACGGAAAGGCCCUGCUUUUGUGGGGUGCUCGAGUGGCGAACGGGUGAGUAACACGUGAGUAACCUGCCCUUGACUUUGGGAUAACUUCAGGAAACUGGGGCUAAUACCGGAUAGGAGCUCCUGCUGCAUGGUGGGGGUUGGAAAGUUUCGGCGGUUGGGGAUGGACUCGCGGCUUAUCAGCUUGUUGGUGGGGUAGUGGCUUACCAAGGCUUUGACGGGUAGCCGGCCUGAGAGGGUGACCGGCCACAUUGGGACUGAGAUACGGCCCAGACUCCUACGGGAGGCAGCAGUGGGGAAUAUUGCACAAUGGGCGGAAGCCUGAUGCAGCAACGCCGCGUGCGGGAUGACGGCCUUCGUGUUGUAAACCGCUUUCGCCUGUGACGAAGCGUGAGUGACGGUAAUGGGUAAAGAAGCACCGGCUAACUACGUG
rnacentral:rRNA from 1 species